rnacentral:tRNA from 1 species
AGUUAUUUAAACUUUAGAAAAGUAUGUAUUUUGAAAAUAUAAGAUAAUGGUUAAAUUCCAUUAAUAACUU